CGCUAGCGACAGGCUUAACACAUGCAAGUCGAGGGGCAGCACAGGUAGCAAUACCGGGUGGCGACCGGCGCACGGGUGAGUAACGCGUAUGCAACUUGCCUAUCAGAGGGGGAUAACCCGGCGAAAGUCGGACUAAUACCGCAUGAAGCAGGGAUCCCGCAUGGGAAUAUUUGCUAAAGAUUCAUCGCUGAUAGAUAGGCAUGCGUUCCAUUAGGCAGUUGGCGGGGUAACGGCCCACCAAACCGACGAUGGAUAGGGGUUCUGAGAGGAAGGUCCCCCACAUUGGUACUGAGACACGGACCAAACUCCUACGGGAGGCAGCAGUGAGGAAUAUUGGUCAAUGGCCGAGAGGCUGAACCAGCCAAGUCGCGUGAGGGAUGAAGGUUCUAUGGAUCGUAAACCUCUUUUAUAAGGGAAUAAAGUGCGGGACGUGUCCCGUUUUGUAUGUACCUUAUGAAUAAGGAUCGGCUAACUCCGUGCCAGCAGCCGCGGUAAUACGGAGGAUCCGAGCGUUAUCCGGAUUUAUUGGGUUUAAAGGGUGCGUAGGCGGCCUUUUAAGUCAGCGGUGAAAGUCUGUGGCUCAACCAUAGAAUUGCCGUUGAAACUGGGGGGCUUGAGUAUGUUUGAGGCAGGCGGAAUGCGUGGUGUAGCGGUGAAAUGCAUAGAUAUCACGCAGAACCCCGAUUGCGAAGGCAGCCUGCCAAGCCAUUACUGACGCUGAUGCACGAAAGCGUGGGGAUCAAACAGGAUUAGAUACCCUGGUAGUCCACGCAGUAAACGAUGAUCACUAGCUGUUUGCGAUACACUGUAAGCGGCACAGCGAAAGCGUUAAGUGAUCCACCUGGGGAGUACGCCGGCAACGGUGAAACUCAAAGGAAUUGACGGGGGCCCGCACAAGCGGAGGAACAUGUGGUUUAAUUCGAUGAUACGCGAGGAACCUUACCCGGGUUUGAACGCAUUCGGACCGAGGUGGAAACACCUUUUCUAGCAAUAGCCGUUUGCGAGGUGCUGCAUGGUUGUCGUCAGCUCGUGCCGUGAGGUGUCGGCUUAAGUGCCAUAACGAGCGCAACCCUUGCCACUAGUUACUAACAGGUAAAGCUGAGGACUCUGGUGGGACUGCCAGCGUAAGCUGCGAGGAAGGCGGGGAUGACGUCAAAUCAGCACGGCCCUUACAUCCGGGGCGACACACGUGUUACAAUGGCGUGGACAAAGGGAAGCCACCUGGCGACAGGGAGCGAAUCCCCAAACCACGUCUCAGUUCGGAUCGGAGUCUGCAACCCGACUCCGUGAAGCUGGAUUCGCUAGUAAUCGCGCAUCAGCCAUGGCGCGGUGAAUACGUUCCCGGGCCUUGUACACACCGCCCGUCAAGCCAUGGGAGCCGGGGGUACCUGAAGUCCGUAACCGCGAGGAUCGGCCUAGGGUAAAACUGGUGACUGGG
rnacentral:rRNA from 1 species